AGCUCAGCAGUAUAGCGCUUGCCUGGUAUGCAUGAGGCCCUGGGUUCGAUCCCCAG
rnacentral:tRNA from 1 species